GACGAACGCUGGCGGCGUGCCUAAUACAUGCAAGUAGAACGCUGAAGAGAGGAGCUUGCUCUUCUUGGAUGAGUUGCGAACGGGUGAGUAACGCGUAGGUAACCUGCCUUGUAGCGGGGGAUAACUAUUGGAAACGAUAGCUAAUACCGCAUAACAAUGGAUGACACAUGUCAUUUAUUUGAAAGGGGCAAUUGCUCCACUACAAGAUGGACCUGCGUUGUAUUAGCUAGUAGGUGAGGUAAUGGCUCACCUAGGCGACGAUACAUAGCCGACCUGAGAGGGGGAUCGGCCACACUGGGACUGAGACACGGCCCAGACUCCUACGGGAGGCAGCAGGAGGGAAUCUUCGGCAAUGGGGGCAACCCUGACCGAGCAACGCCGCGUGAGUGAAGAAGGGUGUCGGAUCGUAAAGCUCUGUUGUAAGUCAAGAACGGGUGUGAGAGUGGAAAGUUCACACUGUGACGGUAGCUUACCAGAAAGGGACGGCUAACUACGUG
rnacentral:rRNA from 1 species